AGAGUUUGAUCCUGGCUCAGAACGAACGCUGGCGGCAGGCUUAACACAUGCAAGUCGAACGGGCCCUUCGGGGUCAGUGGCAGACGGGUGAGUAACGCGUGGGAACGUGCCCUCUGGUUCGGAAUAACUCAGGGAAACUUGAGCUAAUACCGGAUACGCCCUUUUGGGGAAAGGCUUGCUGCCGGAGGAUCGGCCCGCGUCUGAUUAGCUAGUUGGUGAGGUAACGGCUCACCAAGGCGACGAUCAGUAGCUGGUCUGAGAGGAUGAUCAGCCACACUGGGACUGAGACACGGCCCAGACUCCUACGGGAGGCAGCAGUGGGGAAUAUUGGACAAUGGGCGCAAGCCUGAUCCAGCCAUGCCGCGUGAGUGAUGAAGGCCUUAGGGUUGUAAAGCUCUUUUAUCCGGGACGAUAAUGACGGUACCGGAGGAAUAAGCCCCGGCUAACUUCGUGCCAGCAGCCGCGGUAAUACGAAGGGGGCUAGCGUUGCUCGGAAUCACUGGGCGUAAAGGGCGCGUAGGCGGCGUUUUAAGUCGGGGGUGAAAGCCUGUGGCUCAACCACAGAAUGGCCUUCGAUACUGGGACGCUUGAGUAUGGUAGAGGUUGGUGGAACUGCGAGUGUAGAGGUGAAAUUCGUAGAUAUUCGCAAGAACACCGGUGGCGAAGGCGGCCAACUGGACCAUUACUGACGCUGAGGCGCGAAAGCGUGGGGAGCAAACAGGAUUAGAUACCCUAGUAGUCC
rnacentral:rRNA from 1 species